rnacentral:rRNA from 1 species
GAUGAACGCUGGCGGCGUGCCUAAUACAUGCAAGUCGAGCGAACGGACGAGAAGCUUGCUUUUCUGAUGUUAGCGGCGGACGGGUGAGUAACACGUGGAUAACCUACCUAUAAGACUGGGAUAACUUCGGGAAACCGGAGCUAAUACCGGAUAAUAUUUUGAACCGCAUGGUUCAAAAGUGAAAGACGGUCUUGCUGUCACUUAUAGAUGGAUCCGCGCUGGAUUAGCUAGUUGGUAAGGUAACGGCUUACCAAGGCAACGAUGCAUAGCCGACCUGAGAGGGUGAUCGGCCACACUGGAACUGAGACACGGUCCAGACUCCUACGGGAGGCAGCAGUAGGGAAUCUUCCGCAAUGGGCGAAAGCCUGACGGAGCAACGCCGCGUGAGUGAUGAAGGUCUUCGGAUCGUAAAACUCUGCUAUUAGGGAAGAACAUAUGUGUAAGUAACUGUGCACAUCUUGACGGUACCUAAUCAGAAAGCCACGGCUAACUACGUG